rnacentral:rRNA from 1 species
AGUCGAACGGCAGCACGGACUUCGGUCUGGUGGCGAGUGGCGAACGGGUGAGUAAUGUAUCGGAACGUGUGAUGCCUAGUAGCGGGGGAUAACUACGCGAAAGCGUAGCUAAUACCGCAUACCUUCGGGGGAAAGCGGGGGACCUUCGGGCCUCGCAUAAUGGAAGCAGCAGCCGAUAUCGGUUGGCUAGUUGGUGGGGUAACGGCUCACCGGGCGACGAUCGUAGCUGGUUUGAGAGGACGACCAGCCACACUGGGACCGGAACCUGACGACUCCCAGGAGAGCGUGAUGGGGGUACCUGGACAAUGGGAAGCCCUGAGUCAGCCAUCGUGUACGAUGAAGGCCUUCGGGUUGUAAAGCACUUUUGGCAGGAAAGAAACGGCCUGGAUGUGCCAAUGCGCUGACGUGCCUGCAGGUCGCUUCCUUCAACUGCAUGCAGCAACCGCGGUAAUACGUAGGGUGCAAGCGUUAAUCGGAAUUACUGGGCGUAAAGCGUGCGCAGGCGGUUCCGGAAAGAAGAUGUGAAAUCCCAGAGCUUAACUUUGGAACUGCAUUUUUAACUACCGAGCUGCGAAGGUGUCAGAGAGGGAGGUGGAAUUCCGCGUGUGCGCAUUGAAAUGCGUAGAUGCGGAGAAUUUGAUGGCGAAGGCAGCCUCCUGGGAUAACACUGACGCUCAUGCAGAAAGCGUGGGAGCAAACAGGAUUAGAUACCUGGUAGUCCGCCUAAACGUAAUCAACCUGGCUGUUGGGGCCUUCGGGCCCUUCAGUAGCGCAGCUAACGCGCGUGAAGUUGACCGCCUGGGGAAGUACGGUGUAGAUUAAAACUCAAGGAAUUGACGGGGACCCGCACAAGCGGUGGAUGAUGUGGAUUAAUUCGAUGCAACGCGAAAAAGCCUUACCUACCCUUGACAUGUCUGGAAUCCCGAAGAGAUUUGGGAGUGCUCGCAGAAGAACCGGAACACAGGUGCUGCAUGGCUGUCGUCAGCUCGUGUCGUGAGAUGUUGGGUUAAGUCCCGCAACGAGCGCAACCCUUGUCAUUAGUUGCUACGAAGGCAUCUCAUGGAGGCUGCCGGUGACAAACCGGAGGAAGGUGGGGAUGACGUCAAGUCCUCGCGGCACAUAUGGUGGUACCACACGUCAUACAAUGGUCGGGACUGGGGUGCAUGGCGAAGAGAGACCAAUCGUCAGAAACCCGAUCGUAGUCCGGAUGCGAUCUGCAACUCGACUGCAAUCAAGUCGGAAUCGCUAGUAAUCGCGGAUCAGCAUGUCUUAGGAGUGAAUACGUUCCCGGGUCUUGUACACACCGCCCGUCAUACCAUGGGAGUGGGUUUUACCAAGUAGUUAGCCUAACCGUAAGGAGGCGAUUACUACAAUGGGGAUUCAUGUUCGGAUGAAGUCGUAACAAGGUAA